rnacentral:rRNA from 1 species
UACGAAGGGGGCUAGCGUUGCUCGGAAUCACUGGGCGUAAAGGGUGCGUAGGCGGGUUUUUAAGUCAGGGGUGAAAUCCUGGAGCUCAACUCCAGAACUGCCUUUGAUACUGAAGAUCUUGAGUCCGGGAGAGGUGAGUGGAACUGCGAGUGUAGAGGUGAAAUUCGUAGAUAUUCGCAAGAACACCAGUGGCGAAGGCGGCUUACUGGCCCGGUACUGACGCUGAGGCACGAAAGCUAGGGGAGGAAACGGG